AGUAAAGAAGAGAGAGAAAGAAGAAGAAGUGAAAAGAGGAAGAAGAAGAAAGAAGAAGAAGGGGAAGUUAACCGCAGAGCUUCAUUAGAGCUGGGUCUUGGUGUUUGGAGCCCGGAUUUAUGAUGAGCUCACCGAGGUCUUCGAUUUGAGGAUUUGAAAGGAGUGUGGGCGAAGAUCUAGAGAAUUGGGAGGUUCUUGGGCAAAAGAAGUGAAAUUUGGGGUUUCAUUGGUAUUCUUAAAGAAGAGGUGAUUUUGCAGGUUACCUGCCUAGGAAUCAGGAGCCAGGCCCCACCGUGGAGUUUUCAUCUGAGGACUGGUGGGUCCCUGAUGAGUUCAAGCACGGUGCACGUGCGAGUAUUGUGCUGCAUGGCAGCUGUGACUCCUGAGUGAUUUUUUUUUAUUCUUUUAAUGUACUCCCUUUUUGUUACUUGAUGCUUAAAUUAUUGUAUUUUUGUAUAUAUAUCAUGCCUUCGGACCCAAAAUGUAACAUUUAUAACUCAAUUUAGGUAUCAAGUAUUUGGGAAACAGUUAUAGGUAUUAUUAUGAACUGAUCUUCUGCUGAAAAUACAGGUUUAUUCUUAGAUUAGUAGAUGUAUAUUGUAUUGCAGGUACUGCAUUGUUGAUCUUGACAGGUUUGUGAGUUAACCGGUGUAAACUUGGUCACCGGCUUGGCUUAGUGCGGGCAGGGUGUGACAAGGUCCCUCUGAUUCAAAGAAGGAAUGUGCAGCACACUUGCAGUGUCUCUGAAGGGGCUGGGCUAGAUGCUACAGAAUCUGAGGUGCCGACAACCACUUCACCAGAGAGGUUACAAUCUUAUGCUACGCGGUGGGAGGUCAUGCAUUACCAUCAUUGGAAAAUCUUCCCUCUCCUGUAUGGGUGGGGAAUCUGACGAGCAUUAAAAUCCCCCAGGCGGCGUAUGUGAGGAAAAUUGAGAAACAUAGUUUUUCUCUUCUUGGAAGGGUCAACUUUAGAAUGGUCUCCAUGGAUGCACUUCGGUCUUUAGUGCAUUCCCCUUGGGCUAUUAAGGAGGUGGUGGUUUUGAAAUCCCUUGGUAAAGGGUUUGUGCUGUUUCGGUUUAAAUCUGAGGCACAAAUGAUGCAUGUUUGGAAAUGCGGCCCAAUCAGAGUGGAAGGCCGGUUAAUUCAGUUUCAAAUGUGGAGACCCGAUUGCAAGGUAGAUGAUGAAGCUAUUUCAUGUAUCUUUGGCCGGCAUCUUCAAUUUCCAAAAUGGAAAGGUGGACCAGAACUUCAUAUGGAGUGGAGAGGCAAGCACCUACAAAGGAGUAGUUGUGAAAUGAGAGAACAUCUGUAAGCCAAAGAGCGAGGAUGGUAUGAGCAUCCCUAGGCUCAAGGAUGUGAAUUUAGCUUUGUUGGCUAAGCUAUGUUGGUAUAUAAAAACUGAAAACUCCUCCCUAAAAUGGCAAGUUCUAUCAUCUUCUAUUAUGCUUGGCUUACGGAAAAUUUGAGACUUGGUCUCAAAUAAUGUAAGAUGGGUUGUUGGUGAUGGAACAAAAAUUAAUUUAUGGUUU